rnacentral:lncRNA from 1 species
UUGCUCUCAUAUCAGUAGGAAAAACAAAUCAUCCCAGGGCUCCCUGCCAAGCAUCUCCCCGUUCUACCCUCCGGAAACCAGGUUCACUUUUAUCUACCUUCCUUGAAUAUAUUCUCCUCAUCCCAUUUCUGAUUCCUCAUUUUAUUUACUUGUUGGUAACUAGGGCAAGAUGGAUCUACGUGUUGAAAAAGCAGAAGAUUCGAGUGAUUCGAGUGAAAGAACUAUCAGCAAUAGUUCUAUGGGGAUCGCAUACUGUGGCAGCCAAGCCCAGGAUGACGACCUGGAAGCAGAUUCUGCUAUGGUAUUACCUGCUGUCGGAUGGAAGGAAGCAAGAUCUGACGGGC